rnacentral:rRNA from 1 species
GACGAACGCUGGCGGCGUGCUUAACACAUGCAAGUCGAACAGAAAGGCCUGCUUUCCCUUGUGGAUUGCGGGUGCUCGAGUGGCGAACGGGUGAGUAACACGUGAGUGAUCUGCCCCCAACUUGGGUAUAAGCCUGGGAAACUGGGUCUAAUUCCCGAUAGGACUGCAGGGUGGUGCCUGUGGUGGAAAACGAUUUUCUAGUGGUUGGGGAUGAGCUCGCGGCCUAUCAGCUUGUUGGUGGGGUAAUGGCCUACCAAGGCGGCGACGGGUAGCCGGCCUGAGAGGGUGGACGGCCACAUUGGGACUGAGAUACGGCCCAGACUCCUACGGGAGGCAGCAGUGGGGAAUAUUGCACAAUGGGCGGAAGCCUGAUGCAGCGACGCCGCGUGGGGGAUGACGGCCUUCGGGUUGUAAACUCCUUUCGACCGCGAGGAAGCCACCUGGUUGGAAGGGUGGUGACGGUAGUGGUAGAAGAAGCACCGGCUAACUACGUG